GAUGAACGCUAGCUACAGGCUUAACACAUGCAAGUCGAGGGGCAGCAUUUCAGUUUGCUUGCAAACUGGAGAUGGCGACCGGCGCACGGGUGAGUAACACGUAUCCAACCUGCCGAUAACUCGGGGAUAGCCUUUCGAAAGAAAGAUUAAUACCCGAUGGUAUAAUCAGACCGCAUGGUCUUGUUAUUAAAGAAUUUCGGUUAUCGAUGGGGAUGCGUUCCAUUAGGCAGUUGGUGAGGUAACGGCUCACCAAACCUUCGAUGGAUAGGGGUUCUGAGAGGAAGGUCCCCCACAUUGGAACUGAGACACGGUCCAAACUCCUACGGGAGGCAGCAGUGAGGAAUAUUGGUCAAUGGGCGCAGGCCUGAACCAGCCAAGUAGCGUGAAGGAUGACUGCCCUAUGGGUUGUAAACUUCUUUUAUAUGGGAAUAAAGUUUUCCACGUGUGGAAUUUUGUAUGUACCAUAUGAAUAAGGAUCGGCUAACUCCGUGCCAGCAGCCGCGGUAAUACGGAGGAUCCGAGCGUUAUCCGGAUUUAUUGGGUUUAAAGGGAGCGUAGGUGGACAGUUAAGUCAGUUGUGAAAGUUUGCGGCUCAACCGUAAAAUUGCAGUUGAUACUGGCUGUCUUGAGUACAGUAGAGGUGGGCGGAAUUCGUGGUGUAGCGGUGAAAUGCUUAGAUAUCACGAAGAACUCCGAUUGCGAAGGCAGCUCACUGGACUGCAACUGACACUGAUGCUCGAAAGUGUGGGUAUCAAACAGGAUUAGAUACCCUGGUAGUCCACACAGUAAACGAUGAAUACUCGCUGUUUGCGAUAUACAGUAAGCGGCCAAGCGAAAGCAUUAAGUAUUCCACCUGGGGAGUACGCCGGCAACGGUGAAACUCAAAGGAAUUGACGGGGGCCCGCACAAGCGGAGGAACAUGUGGUUUAAUUCGAUGAUACGCGAGGAACCUUACCCGGGCUUAAAUUGCAUUUGAAUAUAUUGGAAACAGUAUAGCCGUAAGGCAAAUGUGAAGGUGCUGCAUGGUUGUCGUCAGCUCGUGCCGUGAGGUGUCGGCUUAAGUGCCAUAACGAGCGCAACCCUUAUCUUUAGUUACUAACAGGUCAUGCUGAGGACUCUAGAGAGACUGCCGUCGUAAGAUGUGAGGAAGGUGGGGAUGACGUCAAAUCAGCACGGCCCUUACGUCCGGGGCUACACACGUGUUACAAUGGGGGGUACAGAAGGCAGCUACCUGGUGACAGGAUGCUAAUCCCAAAAGCCUCUCUCAGUUCGGAUCGAAGUCUGCAACCCGACUUCGUGAAGCUGGAUUCGCUAGUAAUCGCGCAUCAGCCAUGGCGCGGUGAAUACGUUCACGGGCCU
rnacentral:rRNA from 1 species